CGGCAGGCCUAACACAUGCAAGUCGAACGGUAACAGAAAGCAGCUUGCUGCUUUGCUGACGAGUGGCGGACGGGUGAGUAAUGUCUGGGAAACUGCCCGAUGGAGGGGGAUAACUACUGGAAACGGUAGCUAAUACCGCAUAACGUCGCAAGACCAAAGAGGGGGACCUUCGGGCCUCUUGCCAUCGGAUGUGCCCAGAUGGGAUUAGCUAGUAGGUGGGGUAAAGGCUCACCUAGGCGACGAUCCCUAGCUGGUCUGAGAGGAUGGCCAGCCACACUGGAACUGAGACACGGUCCAGACUCCUACGGGAGGCAGCAGUGGGGAAUAUUGCACAAUGGGCGCAAGCCUGAUGCAGCCAUGCCGCGUGUAUGAAGAAGGCCUUCGGGUUGUAAAGUACUUUCAGCGGGGAGGAAGGGAGUAAAGUUAAUACCUUUGCUCAUUGACGUUACCCGCAGAAGAAGCACCGGCUAACUCCGUGCCAGCAGCCGCGGUAAUACGGAGGGUGCAAGCGUUAAUCGGAAUUACUGGGCGUAAAGCGCACGCAGGCGGUUUGUUAAGUCAGAUGUGAAAUCCCCGGGCUCAACCUGGGAACUGCAUCUGAUACUGGCAAGCUUGAGUCUCGUAGAGGGGGGUAGAAUUCCAGGUGUAGCGGUGAAAUGCGUAGAGAUCUGGAGGAAUACCGGUGGCGAAGGCGGCCCCCUGGACGAAGACUGACGCUCAGGUGCGAAAGCGUGGGGAACAAACAGGAUUAGAUACCCUGGUAGUCCACGCCGUAAACGAUGUCGACUUGGAGGUUGUGCCCUUGAGGCGUGGCUUCCGGAGCUAACGCGUUAAGUCGACCGCCUGGGGAGUACGGCCGCAAGGUUAAAACUCAAAUGAAUUGACGGGGGCCCGCACAAGCGGUGGAGCAUGUGGUUUAAUUCGAUGCAACGCGAAGAACCUUACCUGGUCUUGACAUCCACGGAAGUUUUCAGAGAUGAGAAUGUGCCUUCGGGAACCGUGAGACAGGUGCUGCAUGGCUGUCGUCAGCUCGUGUUGUGAAAUGUUGGGUUAAGUCCCGCAACGAGCGCAACCCUUAUCCUUUGUUGCCAGCGGUCCGGCCGGGAACUCAAAGGAGACUGCCAGUGAUAAACUGGAGGAAGGUGGGGAUGACGUCAAGUCAUCAUGGCCCUUACGACCAGGGCUACACACGUGCUACAAUGGCGCAUACAAAGAGAAGCGACCUCGCGAGAGCAAGCGGACCUCAUAAAGUGCGUCGUAGUCCGGAUUGGAGUCUGCAACUCGACUCCAUGAAGUCGGAAUCGCUAGUAAUCGUGGAUCAGAAUGCCACGGUGAAUACGUUCCCGGGCCUUGUACACACCGCCCGUCACACCAUGGGAGUGGGUUGCAAAAGAAGUAGGUAGCUUAACCUUCGGGAGGGCGCUUACCACUUUGUGAUUCAUGACUGGGG
rnacentral:rRNA from 1 species